UACGAGAGGUGCAAACGUUAUUCGGAUUUACUGGGCGUAAAGCGCGCGUAGGUGGUUCGUUAAGUUGGAUGUGAAAUCCCCGGGCUCAACCUGGGAACUGCAUUCAAAACUGUCGAGCUAGAGUAUGGUAGAGGGUGGUGGAAUUUCCUGUGUAGCGGUGAAAUGCGUAGAUAUAGGAAGGAACACCAGUGGCGAAGGCGACCACCUGGACUGAUACUGACACUGAGGUGCGAAAGCGUGGGGAGCAAACAGG
rnacentral:rRNA from 1 species